rnacentral:rRNA from 1 species
AUGUUCGAGUAUCGAAAUGUUGUCAGCAAGAUGUUUGAUAGUGAGGCUGAAGGCUAUGAAUUCUACAACAAAUAUGCUCUUGAAAAAGGUUUUAGUGUGAGGAGAAGCUACGUUGAGUGGGAUGGAUCCAACAAAUACAUAAUUUUAAGGAAAACUGUGUGUAGUCGUCAAGGGUUUCGCGAAGAGAAGCACAUGAAAAGAAAGAUGGAAGAUAGAAAGAGGAGGCCACGAAGUUUAACUCGUGUUGGGUGUAAUGCUAAAUUGGUCAUUACGAGACAGGAGGAAACCGGUCGGUGGUUUGUCAAGGAUUUCAUCGAUGAGCACAGCCAUCCUCUAGCCCCACGGGUCUUUCUUGUCUGCUGCGUUCGCACAGACGAAUUAGCGAUGAGCAGAAAGCGGACAUUGCAGACAUGGAAAAAUGUGGGAUCCGCAAAUACCGUAUUAUGGAUAUUUUGUGCUUUCAAUACGGUGGAUUUGAUAAGGUUGGAUGCAUAA